AAAAUGUUUCAUAAUUGGAUUUUUGAAAGUCAUGUAUCAACACAUGCAUGGAUGGAAGGUGUUAUCAUGUUCUUUAAUCCGUCUAGUACCUUGCUAUCAUGGUUAUGUAUAUUUUCCUUUUAUAGAUUCGUUAUGCAUUUGAACUUUUGACAAAUGCUUUAUGGAAGAGAGAUUAUGACCUUUUUGGCAUUGAUGAACACUCUGAAUCCUUUCUUGUUGGAGAAUUUCAAGUUUUAGUUACUAGUAUGAUCGAACUCCCAAUUAUUAAUUCAUCUUCACUUGGUAUGUUCAUUGUUCUACUGAUGCAAAAAUGUCAGCAUGUGCAUAUGAGGUAUGCUGAGUGAUAUGACCAAAGUUCAUUUCUAUUGUUGGGAAAUCAAAGCCUUCGCUCAUACAAGUUUAUUCUGGAAGCCUUCGCUGUGCUCAUGCAAUUCAUCAGUGCUUGGAAGAGGAGAGGUUCUUGAUCAAUGAUAUUUUGUAGAUAACUUGAACUGAAAUUGAGGGAAAAGAUAAUGACCAUACCUAGAAAGGAGAAGAAAAGAAAAGCUAGGAGGGAGGAGAA